rnacentral:misc_RNA from 1 species
AAGUCGUAACAAGGUCUCCGUUGGUGAACCAGCGGAGGGAUCAUUACCGAGUUUACAACUCCCAACCCUUUGUGAACAUACCUAUCGUUGCCUCGGCGGGACUGCCCCGGCGCCCAGCGCGCUGGAACCAGGCCCCCGCCGGAGGCGAGCCAAACCAUCUUGUUUCUUCAAGUUCAUUCUUAAUGUAGGUGCUUUCGAGCAAAAAAUAAAUUAAAA